AGUGAUAUAUGCCCCGUCCGAAGCCACGAUUAUUCAUCAAAUCACGAGACACGGGUCCCCACCAUGGCGAGCCUCGCAGGGAAGUACGAACUCCCAAAUGUUGCAUAAAGCUUGUCACGAGAGACGAAAAUUCCCACUCCCGACGGGGGUGUUCAAAGAUAGGUCUGAAGCGUGUCGAUCCUUUCAUUGACCAGCGGGGUUGGCCGUUUGUCGACAGAUCUCAACAAGUGACACAGAAUCGGACAAAAAUGGAACUGUUUUAUAUGUCAACCUGUUCUAACGCUGACCCGACCGGGCAGUGUAGUUAGAGGUAAUGGGCCGAAUCGGCCCGAUUCAGACCAUAUGUGCUUUUUCGACACAACAUGGGGCAUUGCUGUAAAGCUAAACGUGUUUUUGUAAUUUCGGGCCAAGUAUUCGACGGAUAACCGUGUUUACAAUCCGAAAUCCUGUUAACUGUGAAAAUUGUGUCUUUUGAAAUAUUAAGAGCUUUUGUCGUUGAUAUCUUUGAUAUCGAAAUCUAUAGACCACUAAGCCAUUGCUAAGUUUCAUCAACAUGAUUUAGACAACAAACCCAUCCUACCUACGACCAUGAUAACAGUGAUCAAAGAGCAAAGUCGACAGCUUUGAGAAUUGGCAUUACGUUAGGCCCAAAGUCAGAGCCAAGAUCAAAAACAAGGUUUGAAGCACGGAUUUAUGUGUAUAACCCAUCCUAUAUUCGAAGGUCGACACUUACAGUACACCUGCGUUUGAAUUGAUCGAUUAAUGAAAAUGCUGCGCCCAGACGGUUCGUUCGUAUCUUUGGCUAUAACAAGAAAAACAUCCAAGACGCUGGAAUAUCAAUGCUGAAACUGAUCCGUGAUAGGGAGAAGAAAGUAGACUGACACUUUCCACAAACAAUGAACAAUUCCACUCCCGAGGAGGUUCAGACGGAAAGAGGGAGUUUUUCGAUCCCCCAUAAGGUUUAAUAAUUUUCCGCGUUCUUGACAAAUGCUCACGCGUGUCCACGCAAACUGGACCAUACAAAGAUAACGAUUUUAACAAAUGCUUAUUGUCGGGUAAAGAAAAUAGAGAGAAGAAAAAAGGAAAUGGAGAAAAGGUGUAAAAUGUCAGAUUUGACAGCUACAUUGAGAUGGUUGAUUGUUUUUCCUUUCAACUUUUAAAAAGAAAAAUGUAUCUGUUUUCAUCACGUCUGGUAUUUUUCAAAGGCAAUAUGUUCAUAUCAUUUGCGAGGUACAUGAACAAAUUGUCCCCGUGACGUUGCGUUUAAAUGUUUAACUUUCCAUUGUCCGUUAAGCUAUAGUUUGCAGCCGUUUAGCGGCUAGAGUAGAAAACGAUAACCCUCGUUCCAACAUUUGUACGAGAUCGUUUAAAAAUGGGUUCGUUUGAGAAAAUAUUUUCCCGAAUUCCUUACAGAUGUGACAAUAAAACAGUUUAGGAAAAUCAAAGUUUUUACUUUAAUGAGGGAAAUGACAUUACUGGAUUCAAAAAUCCAUUUGGCGUUCAAAUAUAUGUUCACGGUCUCCCCAUUAACUGAUGUCAUGGUGUGCUGAAAUGUCUGCAGCUUCAGUCAGUUGAAAAUUGGCUUGCACCUAGUUUAACCCACGAACUUGCAUUUUUAGAUCCAAUUUCGUUUUUGUCUUUAACGAUGUAAUAAAGUGAGACAGAUAUGUA
rnacentral:lncRNA from 1 species